rnacentral:ncRNA from 1 species
GUAAAGUUUAAUUUUAACUUAAAUUUUUAUUAUUUAUUUAAUUUAUAUGUAAAUUUAAGUGAGAACAAAAUUUGUGCUUAAAUAGUUAAAAUUAAAAUUUGAUUCGCAGUAAGUAAAAUUAAAUAUAAAAGAUAUUUUGAUUUAGAAAUAUAUAUAGUGUUGAUAAAAUUUGUGCCAGCAUUCGCGGUUAUACAAAUAAUACAAUUAAAAAUUUUUAGUGUUAGUUAAUUAAAAAUGGUAAAAAUUUAAAGUUUAAUUUUUUAGGUGAAAUUUAAAAUUGAAGUAUAUUUAAUUAAAGAGAUUGAGGCUAAGAAAUUUUUUUAAAAAACUAGGAUUAGAUACCCUAUUAUUAAAAAUGUAAAAUAAUUAAACUAAGCUAUUAUAAGUUAUGUUCUUUAAAGUUAAAGAUUUUGGCGGUAUUUUAGUCUUUUCAGAGGAACCUGUUCUGUAAUUGAUAUUCCACAAUAUGAAAUACUUUUAUUAAAAUUUGCAUAUCGUUGUAAAAUAGUAUUUUUUAAGGAAAAAAAUAUUAGAAAUUUAUUUUAUAAAAAAAAUCAAAUCAAGAUGUAGUUUAUAUAGAAGAAGAAAUGGGUUACAAUAAAUAGAUUUAUAUGGAUAUUUAAUUUAAAAUUGAGUGGAAGGUGGAUUUGAGAGUAAUUUUAAUGAGUUAAUUAAAAUGAUUAUAGCUCUAAAAUAUGCACAUAUUGCCCGUCGCUUUCAUUAUAAGAUGAAAUAAGUCGUAACAAAGUAGGUGUACUGGAAAGUGUGCCUAGAAAGAU